rnacentral:rRNA from 1 species
UGGGGAAUUUUUGGACAAUGGGCGAAAGCCUGAUCCAGCAAUGCCGCGUGUGUGAAGAAGGCCUUCGGGUUGUAAAGCACUUUUGUCCGGAAAGAAAUCCUUGGCUCUAAUACAGUCGGGGGAUGACGGUACCGGAAGAAUAAGCACCGGCUAACUACGUGCCAGCAGCCGCGGUAAUACGUAGGGUGCAAGCGUUAAUCGGAAUUACUGGGCGUAAAGCGUGCGCAGGCGGUUUGCUAAGACCGAUGUGAAAUCCCCGGGCUCAACCUGGGAACUGCAUUGGUGACUGGCAGGCUAGAGUAUGGCAGAGGGGGGUAGAAUUCCACGUGUAGCAGUGAAAUGCGUAGAGAUGUGGAGGAAUACCGAUGGCGAAGGCAGCCCCCUGGG